AAUAAAUCAAUUUUUUAUUUUUUACCUACAAUUUUUGACUAUUCGUCUUAUUUAAAUUUUUUUACGAUCGAUAUUUCUGUUUUUAUUAGAUGAUAAAUUAUAAAUAGUACUUUAUGUGUGGCUAAUUUUUUUAAUUUCCUAAAAUUUUUUCAAAUAAGACGAAUGGUCAAAUGUUGAUCACGGAAACCGAAG
rnacentral:pre_miRNA from 1 species